rnacentral:rRNA from 1 species
AGCGAACGCUGGCGGCAGGCCUAACACAUGCAAGUCGAACGAAGUCUUCGGACUUAGUGGCGGACGGGUGAGUAACACGUGGGAACGUGCCUUUAGGUUCGGAAUAACUCAGGGAAACUUGUGCUAAUACCGAAUGUGCCCUUCGGGGGAAAGAUUUAUACGCCUUUAGAGCGGCCGCGUCCGAUUAGCUAGUUGGGGAGGUAAAGGCUCACCAAGGCGACGAUCAGUAGCUGGUCUGAGAGGAUGAUCAGCCACAUUGGGACUGAGACACGGCCCAAACUCCUACGGGAGGCAGCAGUGGGGAAUCUUGCGCAAUGGGCGAAAGCCUGACGCAGCCAUGCCGCGUGAAUGAUGAAGGUCUUAGGAUUGUAAAAUUCUUUCACCGGGGACGAUAAUGACGGUACCCGGAGAAGAAGCCCCGGCUAACUUCGUGCCAGCCGCCGCAGUAA